CGCGCUGCCGGAGCCACAACAAACGACGCCUCUCUCCCGUUCACCCGUCUCAACUCCGGAUCACUGUCUCUCCUCUCCACUCCCCACCGAGAUAUUUCGCGCGACCCGGCUGCCAUGUCGCUGCUCGCCGUCGGCGCCAGCCGCGCCGCGGCCGUGCGCCCGCUCCGCGCCUCGGCAGCAUCCGGAGAGGCGGCGGCACCAGCAGCGGGGGACCAGACAGCGGAGCGGAGGCCAGUGAAGAUAAUACUGCCGAAGAAGAAGCCGGAGAAGUGGUCGACGGGGAUGGAGCCGGGGUCGUACGGCGGCGGGCCGACGACCGUCAAGCCGCGCAAGUACUGGAUGGGGAAGGAGGACCGCGACCCCGUGGGCAACAAGGACGACUUCAUCUGGAACAAGAACUUCAUGCCCCACAUGGAGCGCGUCAUCGCCAACGGCGGCACCGACACGCCCGCCACCAUCGCCCGCGUCAAGCAGGCGGACGAGGGCUUUCUAAGCUUCAACCGCGCGAUGAGCCUUGACAGUGUGGAUGUUGAUCUGAGCAAGGAGCUUCUGGCGCCAACCAAGUCAAUCUUGAAGACCCAGGUCAACGCUGCCCGGCGUGGUCUAUCCACUGGCCCUGCCCCUGAGGCCGUCAACAGAUCCACUUAUGUUAGAUGGAAGCUAGCCCCGACUCGACGGGAGCAGGAGCAAUGGGACCGAGCGACAAGGGCAACCACAGGUGGCAUUGAUGUCAUAUUAAGGGAGUCACAGCAAAAGGUACAGCAGAAAGUAGACCCUAAGGUUUCGUCAGCUGAGGCCAGAGAACAGUAUCUAAAGUUGAAAGAAAAUUUGCAGUUGCUUACUUUAGGUAUUGGUGGCGUCGGUUUGGUUUCUGCUUAUGUGUCAUACACUCCUGAAAUUGCUGCGAGCUUUGGUGUAGGGCUGAUUGGAUCUGUGGUGUAUCUCCGUAUGCUUGGAACCAGUGUGGAUUCUCUAGCGGGUGGAACUAAAGCAGCUGCCAAGGGCGCGGCUGCACAGCCAAGAUUGCUUAUUCCAAUGGUUCUUGUGAUGAUGUAUAAUCGAUGGAAUGCGAUAUUAGUUCCAGAAUAUGGCUUCAUGCACCUUGAGUUGAUACCCAUGCUUGUUGGGUUUUUCACCUACAAGAUUGCUAUGUUUACUCAAGCGAUUCAGGAAUCCAUACCUGAUGUUGGAAACCGUGAAGUUUGAACAGUGUUAUGGUUGAUAGAAAAAAAAUGAAGGGAGAAGGUUGUUGCCCUGAGGGAAGAUUGGUCACCAUUCACCAAUAUAUUAAGGUCUUUAGGUCUUAGAAGAGUCUAAUCUGGAGAUCCCGUCAAGUACAUAUGAUGCACGUUGAGGAUACAACCUGAAAAUGUCGAUUGAUGAAAAGCAUUCCACUGAAAAAUGUCUGAGAAGUUAGCAAAUAGGUGCGGUGUGAAAUUCAUCCCAGAAUUACAUGUAGAUCAUUGAAUAGUUCUGUGAACUGUACACAUCCAAACUUUUAAUGCAUUGACCACCGAAUUGUAUGACUCAUUUGAUUAUUUUAUAAGGAGAUCAUGACUCCGAUCAGUAAAGGUUGUAAAUAAUACAUCAAUACACUAGCUCGGGAAGGAAAUAUUCUGAAAAUGUUGCAUAUCUCCAUUGAA